ACGAACGCUGGCGGCGUGCUUAACACAUGCAAGUCGAACGGAAAGGCCCUGCUUUUGUGGGGUGCUCGAGUGGCGAACGGGUGAGUAACACGUGAGUAACCUGCCCUUGACUUUGGGAUAACUUCAGGAAACUGGGGCUAAUACCGGAUAGGAGCUCCUGCUGCAUGGUGGGGGUUGGAAAGUUUCGGCGGUUGGGGAUGGACUCGCGGCUUAUCAGCUUGUUGGUGGGGUAGUGGCUUACCAAGGCUUUGACGGGUAGCCGGCCUGAGAGGGUGACCGGGCAAAAGGGGAAUGAGAUACGGCCCAGACUCCUAAGGGAGGCAGCAGGGGGGAAUAUUGAAAAAUGGGCGGAAGCCGGAAGCAGCAACGCCGCGGGCGGGAAGAAGGCCUUUGGGUUGUAAAACGCUUUUGGCUGUGACGAAGCGGGAGUGACGGUAAAGGGUAAAGAAGCAACGGCUAAAUAAGUG
rnacentral:rRNA from 1 species